GAUCACCAACUUCUUUUGCUUCCCUUUUAAUUUCUUUCCUAUCUUUUGCUUUUCCCAUUCAUCUCUCUCGCUUUCCACAAAGGCGAGAUUUGAAUACGUAAUCCUAAUUAUACUCUCAUAGAGAUUUGGUAAUUUGGCCCAAAAUAUCUUUCUACUUUGUAAUAUGUCGAUGCAUAGAAAACAUAAUCUUAUUCUAACAUUCACAAAUCUCCUAUAUUUCCAUAUUGAAUCUCUCAGUCUGGAUCGGUUUCUAUGAUUUAUCCAUUGGCUUCAUUGGCUGCCUAUAACUUAUAUAUCAUGUUGCAAUCUUUGUGUGUGUUGUGUUGGGGAGAGCUUAUAGCCGGCCGCUCCU